AGGUGAGUAGCUCAAUGGUAGAGCGACCGGCUGUUAACCGGGCGGUUGCAGGUUCGAGUCCCGCCUCUCCUG
rnacentral:tRNA from 1 species